rnacentral:lncRNA from 1 species
GUGUAUGGGUGUCAGGGGUGUUUUAGGAGGGUUGUUCUAUUUUGGGUAUCACUCAUGGCGAGGCAGAGCUUCGCUAAUUAGGGGGUAUAAUACCCGAGUAUAAUAAGCCUACUACAGAAAUUGUGAUUGAGAAUUGAGAAAUGAACGAACUGAAUUGAAAUCCGAUGCGUUCCUUAUAUAGUUGCUGAAACUGGUUCCCACGCGGCCCGCGUAAAGAAUGGACAGGGAUUAUGCGGCCCGCGUCAAUCCUGGUCAACGGACUAGCUUGUCCGGCUCACCCCCUAGACCCGCCACGAUGAUGACACGUGUCAUCACCAGGCUGCGCCACAACUUCGAUCUCUCGCGGCCCGCGUUAACUUAACGAUAUCUUACGCGGCCCGCAUGAACUAAAGAUUCCAGCAGAGUCCGGUUACACCUUAAUGCGGCCCGCGUUAAAGGUUAGGGUGGGUCUAUGCGGCCCGCCUCAACUCAUAUUUUCUUAUUUUUAAUUAUUUUUAAUAAUAUAUUGUAUUUCGGGCUCGGUUUUCACAUACGGGGUGUAUUUUAGGAAGUGUAUGGGUGUCAGGGGUGUUUUAGGAGGGUUGUUCUAUUUUGGGUAUCACUCAUGGGUUAUUUAAUAAAAUAUAUAGUGCACUCACAUUAAGUAUAGCAACCCAAUUCUACUUUAUCCCUACGUCACGAGACAGAACCCCAACGAAUUUAGGCAGAGCCUUGUCAUACGUUACGGGGCCCUACGUCACUUGGACAGGGUAUCAGUGAUCAGGGGCUACAAUACUUAAAAUGGGGCAGGGCUUUGUAGGAUUUAGGGGUGAAUGUAUAUAUA